UACGUAGGGUGCGAGCGUUGUCCGGAAUUACUGGGCGUAAAGAGCUCGUAGGUGGUUUGUCGCGUUGUUCGUGAAAACCCACAGCUUAACUGUGGGCGUGCGGGCGAUACGGGCAGACUGGAGUACUGCAGGGGAGACUGGAAUUCCUGGUGUAGCGGUGGAAUGCGCAGAUAUCAGGAGGAACACCGGUGGCGAAGGCGGGUCUCUGGGCAGUAACUGACGCUGAGGAGCGAAAGCGUGGGGAGCGAACAGG
rnacentral:rRNA from 1 species